UGGGGAAUAUUGCGCAAUGGGGGAAACCCUGACGCAGCCAUGCCGCGUGAGUGAAGAAGGUCUUCGGAUCGUAAAGCUCUUUCAACGGUGAAGAUGAUGACGGUAGCCGUAGAAGAAGCCCCGGCUAACUUCGUGCCAGCAGCCGCGGUAAUACGAAGGGGGCAAGCGUUGUUCGGAAUUACUGGGCGUAAAGGGCGUGUAGGCGGUCUAAUCAGUCAGUGGUGAAAGCCCUGGGCUCAACCCAGGAAUUGCCUUUGAUACUGUUAGACUAGAGUUCGGGAGAGGAUAGUGGAAUUCCCAGUGUAGAGGUGAAAUUCGUAGAUAUUGGGAAGAACACCAGUGGCGAGGCGGCUAUCUGGACCGAUACUGACGCUGAGGCGCGAAAGCGUGGGGAGCAAACAGGAUUAGAUACCCUGGUAGUCCACGCCGUAAACGAUGUCUGCUAGUCGUU
rnacentral:rRNA from 1 species